AACGAACGCUGGCGGCAGGCUUAACACAUGCAAGUCGAGCGCAUCCUUCGGGGUGAGCGGCGGACGGGUGAGUAACGCGUGGGAACGUGCCCUCUUCUACGGAAUAGCCUCGGGAAACUGAGAGUAAUGCCGUAUACGCCCGCAAGGGGAAAGAUUUAUCGGAGGAGGAUCGGCCCGCGUUGGAUUAGGUAGUUGGUGGGGUAACGGCCUACCAAGCCGACGAUCCAUAGCUGGUUUGAGAGGAUGAUCAGCCACUGGGACUGAGACACGGCCCAGACUCCUACGGGAGGCAGCAGUGGGGAAUCUUGGACAAUGGGGGCAACCCUGAUCCAGCCAUGCCGCGUGAUCGAUGAAGGCCUUAGGGUUGUAAAGAUCUUUCAGCUGGGAAGAUAAUGACGGUACCAGCAGAAGAAGCCCCGGCUAACUCCGUG
rnacentral:rRNA from 1 species